AUUGGGCGUAAAGAGCUCGUAGGCGGCUUGUCGCGUCGGAUGUGAAAGCCCGGGGCUUAACCCCGGGUCUGCAUUCGAUACGGGCAGGCUAGAGUUCGGUAGGGGAGAUCGGAAUUCCUGGUGUAGCGGUGAAAUGCGCAGAUAUCAGGAGGAACACCGGUGGCGAAGGCGGAUCUCUGGGCCGAUACUGACGCUGAGGAGCGAAAGCGUGGGGAGCGAACAGGAUUAGAUACCCUGGUAGUCCACGCCGUAAACGGUGGGAACUAGGUGUUGGCGACAUUCCACGUCGUCGGUGCCGCAGCUAACGCAUUAAGUUCCCCGCCUGGGGAGUACGGCCGCAAGGCUAAAACUCAAAGGAAUUGACGGGGGCCCGCACAAGCAGCGGAGCAUGUGGCUUAAUUCGACGCAACGCGAAGAACCUUACCAAGGCUUGACAUACACCGGAAACGGCCAGAGAUGGUCGCCCC
rnacentral:rRNA from 1 species